rnacentral:rRNA from 1 species
CAGCAGCCGCGGGAAUACAGAGGGUGCAAGCGUUAAUCGGAAUUACUGGGCGUAAAGCGCGCGUAGGUGGUUUGUUAAGUUGGAUGUGAAAUCCCCGGGCUCAACCUGGGAACUGCAUCCAAAACUGGCAAGCUAGAGUAUGGUAGAGGGUGGUGGAAUUUCCUGUGUAGCGGUGAAAUGCGUAGAUAUAGGAAGGAACACCAGUGGCGAAGGCGACCACCUGGACUGAUACUGACACUGAGGUGCGAAAGCGUGGGGAGCAAACAGGAUUAGAUACCCGCGUAGUCCCUGUCUCUCAUAC